CGGGCGGGCGCGCCAAACAAAGGAAACGGUCACACUGACCAAUAGCCACCACAAGCCACACGCGGUAUGGCCAUGGCUAUAGGAUUAUGAAACUACAGUCACACUGGCGAGGGCCGGGAGGAUAUAAAAAGGGCGCCGGUGGCCCAUACAGAUCACUCGGCGGCCGACGGCGAUCGGAGAAGACCGGCCGUCAUCAGUGAUAUCCGACCUUUGGGAUCCCACACCCCAAGACCGACCGUCAUUGGUGACACCCGAUCUUCGGGGGACUCCACCACUCGGUUCUCCGAGGCGCUCCCCGGCCGUCUGCCGAACCGAUCUCACCUGGUAGACCCAAGCGGCCUCCACCCUCUGCUCGAAACUGGUAGCCCCAAGCGACUCCACCCUCUUCUCGAAACAUGGCAGACCCAAGCGGCCUCCAAACUGUCUCAUCCUCCUAGACAUAAGCAUAGCCAAGAGGGACGUGGCUUUUCCUUUCUCAUCCACAGGGUACCCGCCGCCGCCGACGCCGCCGCCACCGGGACGACGACGGCCAACGACGACGCCGAACGACGACACGGAAUAAGACCCCAGCAACCUACGGGCGGACGAGCCCCUGCAGCACGAACUAUAUAUAUAUAUCCCAUGUACAAAAUAAUUCUUAAUAAACGCAUACCGAUUCGA